rnacentral:rRNA from 1 species
AUUGAACGCUGGCGGAAUGCUUUACACAUGCAAGUCGAACGGCAGCACGGGAGCAAUCCUGGUGGCGAGUGGCGAACGGGUGAGUAAUAUAUCGGAACGUGCCCAGUCGUGGGGGAUAACGCAGCGAAAGCUGUGCUAAUACCGCAUACGAUCUCUGGAUGAAAGCGGGGGACCGUAAGGCCUCGCGCGAUUGGAGCGGCCGAUAUCAGAUUAGCUAGUUGGUGGGGUAAAGGCCCACCAAGGCGACGAUCUGUAGCUGGUCUGAGAGGACGACCAGCCACACUGGAACUGAGACACGGUCCAGACUCCUACGGGAGGCAGCAGUGGGGAAUUUUGGACAAUGGGCGCAAGCCUGAUCCAGCAAUGCCGCGUGCAGGAUGAAGGCCUUCGGGUUGUAAACUGCUUUUGUACGGAACGAAACGGCGAGCUCUAAUAAAGUUUGCUAAUGACGGUACCGUAAGAAUAAGCACCGGCUAACUACGUGCCAGCCGCCGCUGUAA